GUCUGCAUGGCUUAGUAGGUUAAAGCGUCCGGUCUCAUAAUCCGAAGGUCGUGAGUUCGAACCUCACUGCGGACA
rnacentral:tRNA from 1 species